rnacentral:lncRNA from 1 species
GUUUUAUUAUCCCUGCUUUAACAGAGGGAGGACUUGAAUCUCGAGUUAAAGUAAUUUGCUCAGGAUUGUAAGGUCUUUUGUGAAGACUUUGAAGUUGCAGGUUCAUUCUGCCGCCAUAUACGUAACAUUCUAAGGGUUUCACUGGUGCCUUGAGAACCUUUGACACCUGUUUGCAGCUCGAAAGUCCAUGGAGCACCUUUAUGACCAAUAAAAGAGAAGGACCAAUGUAUAAAUAUUUUUUUCUUCUCUGAGGAUGGGCAAUUCUGAGAUGCAUUGCAUAAAGCAUCAAGUUAAUAUUUAAUCAGUUGAAGUAUAAGAUAUUGCAACUCCCACAUACCUGGCUUAAGGCAGGAUACAAAGGCAUAGAAUAGAAAUUGAAUCUGAGAACAUCCAAAAAGAUGUCAUGAGUCUCAUUGUUUUAUGGACUCUGGCCAUAAAACAAUGAGACUCGUGAAGGUAUAAAAAUCAUGAAUAAUUUUCAUAAUUCUCCUUCUCCAAGGCCCCAAAUAAAUCCUUUCACUUCCUGAAGGAACCAAUUGACUUUUUCUUUUUCUCAAGAUUGUCAAGAGAGAUUUUUAUCCUCCCAGACUUGAAUGUCUUCUGAUUAGAGAAAUAUCUGCCCAAAAAACGUCAAAAAAGGAGAAAAAGAAGAACCUAAGGAACAUGAACGUGUCAUAGAAAUUUCUCUGGGUGGUAACCCAGCCUCAAACGGACCAACUGUGUGCAAAGCUGUUCCCCAUUUUCCUAAAGGAACAAUGCUGCUCUUAAUAGUACUUAUUUUUCAGGGGGCCCAAUUUCAGAUAUGUUGGUUUUGGCAGGCUUCUGCUAAAGCUGUAUUUUUUUCCUACUGAAUUACAGUAAGAACUAAGUAUUAGAGGCUGUAAUUAAAGGUUGGUGAGGCAAAACUGGAAAUGUGCUCAAUGGGCUGCACUCAGAUCCAACUGAUCCGGAUACAUCAAAAUAUUGGUCAAAACUCCCCAUUUAUGAAUCAGCUCAGUUCUGGACUGAAGAGAAGCUUUUGAGACCCUCUGGAUGCUUUCUCCCAGGUUCUCUGUUAUGGGUUGAAUUGUCAUAGGUCUUCAUAAAGGUUAUUAAGUUAUAAUAAGGCCAAAUGGUUGAGGCCCUAAUUCAGUAUGUCUAGUAUUGCUAGACAUAAGAACAAAAGACACCAGGAUGUGCACAUACGGAGGAAGGGCCAUGUGAAGACACAGGAAGAAGCCGUCAUCUGCGAGCCAAGGAGAGAUGCCCCAAGAGGAACCAAACCUAAUGACACUAUGAUCAUGGACUUCUAGUCUUCGAACUGUGAAACAAUCAAUCUCUGUUUUUUCAGCCACCCAGUCUGUGGUAUUUUGUUCUGGCAGCCCUAGCUGACUUGGAUAGUCUCCCAUGGUGAAGGUGCCCUGUGGGCCAGGCAGAGAUUCUUGUUCCCAGAGCAUGGCACGGCCUUUCCUGUCUACUGGCUUUUGCAUGUGAUACUCAUGUCAGUAGGAUACCCUCCUUUAUUUCUUCACAUAUCCAAAUCCUACUGUCUUUCCAUGGAAAGGGAAAGCCCCUACACUACUGGUAAACUGCAACAGGGUCUCCCUAUGUUGCCCAGGCUGACCUCAAACUCCUGACCUCAAAUGAUCCUCCUGCCUGAGCCUCCCAAGAUGCUGGGAUUACAGGAAACAAAUAUACAUCAAGUUAUCAGCAAAGAUAGCAGCUGCUUGGUUUGCUUAUGAAGUUUUUGUUUUGCUUUGUUUUUGCCUUCCUUGAUAUAAUUUUUCUGCAAUAAACAUUUGUUGCUUUAAGAAAAGUAGUUCUCCUUUCCAAAAAAUAGAAAAAGAUUUUCUGUCUUUCAAGUCCAACUUUAUUCAUUACUACAUUUUUAAACAAAUAUUAUUUAGAGUCUGCUACGUAUCAGACACUCUUCUAGGUACUUGGCUACCUACGUCAGUGAGAUAAAGAUGCCACUGUAGUAUACUUUACAUUCUAACAGAGGAAUAAUAUUAUAAUAAUAAAUUACAUCAUAUGCUAGAAAGUUAUAAGUGCCAUGGAAAAAAUAAAACAAUGAACAGAAUAAAGGGAAUUGGAAAUACUGUGAUCAGGUUACAGUUUGUUUUAUUGAAUAGAGUGAUCAGAGUAAACCUCAUUGAGAAGGCAAGAUAUGGGCAAAGAAUUGAAGAAUCUAAAUGAAGAUAUGUGAACAAAGAGCAUCUCAAGCAGAAACAGUUCCAAGGUGAGAGCAUGUCUAGCCUGCUGGAGGAACAUUACGGAAGGUUUGGUUAGAGGAGCUGUAUUGUGGAAAAGUAUGAGAAGAGGAGAUCAGGGAGUUGACAGGAAGAGAAGACCACACAGGCCUUUGUAGAUCAUUGUUAGGAGUUGGUUUAACAUCAUCUCACAUUCCCAAAAGAAUCUGGCUGCUGUGAUGAGACUGGAUUGCAGAAGGGCAGGGGCAGAAGUAGGGACACAAGCGGCAAAAUCAAUGCAGCAUUCCAGGAAAGAGAUGACUGUGGCAUAGCCCAGGGGUAGCAGAGGAGGUAGUACAAAGCUGGUUAGAUUCUUGAUUUUUUCCGAACGUUUUUAAUGUAAAUUUUAAAACAUAGAGUAAAUUUCAAAAAAUUUUGCAGCAAAUAUUCAUAUAUGCAUCACUAGAUUCUCUGAUUAAAACUUGAUAUACUUGUUUUAUCACAUGUUCAUGCAUCUGUUUAUACUUCUAUCCAUCUAUCAAUGCAUAUUACUUUAAUGCUUUGCAAAGUUUCAAGCAUCAGUACACUCCCACCAAAAUACUUUUGCAUUUAUCCCAGAG